rnacentral:pre_miRNA from 11 species
UCCAUCUAGAUUUGGUGUAUUUACGCUCUCAGCCUGAUCCUUGCUCGACCUAAGCCUUUGACAAUGAGCGAGGUGAGCAAAGUUUCAGGUGCGUGAGCGGCACCUCCAGUCGUCCUAUCCGAU